rnacentral:tRNA from 1 species
GGCAAUGGCUCAGUGGUAGAGCACCUGCCUUGUAUGUGUGAGACACUGGGUUAGAUCCUCAGCGCCA